rnacentral:rRNA from 1 species
CCUACGGGAGGCAGCAGUGAGGAAUAUUGGUCAAUGGGCGCGAGCCUGAACCAGCCAAGUAGCGUGAAGGAUGACUGCCCUACGGGUUGUAAACCUCUUUUAUAAAGGAAUAAAGUGAGGCACGCGUGCCUUUUUGCAUGUACUUUAUGAAUAAGGACCGGCUAACUCCGAGCCAGCAGCCGCGGUAUUACGGAGGUUCCGAGCGUUAUCCGGAUUUAUUGGGUUUAAAGGGGGGGUAGAUGGGUUGUUACGUCGGUUGUGAAAGUUUGCGGCUCAACCGUAAAAUUGCAAUUGAUACUGGCAGUCUUGAGUACAGUUGAGGUAGGCGGAAUUCGUGGUGUAGCGGUGAAAUGCUUAGAUAUCACGAAGAACUCCGAUUGCGAAGGCAGCUUACUAAGCUGCCACUGACAUUGAUGCUCGAAAGUGUGGGUAUCAAACAGGAUUAGAUACCCCAGUAGUC